rnacentral:rRNA from 1 species
GCCCAGACUCCUACGGGAGGCAGCAGUGAGGAAUAUUGGUCAAUGGGCGGAAGCCUGAACCAGCCAAGUCGCGUGAGGGAAUAAGGCCCUACGGGUCGUAAACCUCUUUUGCCGGGGAGCAAAAGACGCCACGCGUGGCGUUCCGAGAGUACCCGAAGAAAAAGCAUCGGCUAACUCCGUGCCAGCAGCCGCGGUAAUACGGAGGAUGCGAGCGUUAUCCGGAUUUAUUGGGUUUAAAGGGUGCGUAGGCGGGACGGUAAGUCAGUGGUAAAAAUGCGGAGCUCAACCCCGUACUGCCGUUGAAACUGCAUCCCUUGAGUGCGCGAGAAGUAUGCGGAAUGCGUGGUGUAGCGGUGAAAUGCAUAGAUAUCACGCAGAACUCCGAUUGCGAAGGCAGCAUACCGGCGCGCAACUGACGCUCAUGCACGAAAGCGUGGGUAUCGAACAGGAUUAGAUACCCUGGUAAC